GCUUACGGCCAUACCACCCUGAGAACGCCCGAUCUCGUCUGAUCUCGGAAGCUAAGCAGGGUCGGGCCUGGUUAGUACUUGGAUGGGAGAUCGCCUGGGAAUACCAGGUGCUGUAAGCU
ensembl:rRNA 5S_rRNA 5S ribosomal RNA